rnacentral:rRNA from 1 species
UACGUAGGGUGCGAGCGUUGUCCGGAUUUAUUGGGCGUAAAGAGCUCGUAGGCGGUUUGUCGCGUCGGCCGUGAAAUCUCCACGCUUAACGUGGAGCGUGCGGUCGAUACGGGCAGACUUGGAGUUCGGUAGGGGAGACUGGAAUUCCUGGUGUAGCGGUGAAAUGCGCAGAUAUCAGGAAGAACACCAAUGGCGAAGGCAGCUCUCUGGGACGGUACUGACGCUGAGACGCGAAAGCGUGGGGAGCGAACAGG